rnacentral:tRNA from 1 species
GCCUUUGUGGUGUAAUGGUCAGUACUCUCGGCGCGUAUUCGAGAGGUCCGUGGUUCGAGUCCCGGCGAGGGCA